rfam:Cavia porcellus supercont2_92 genomic scaffold, whole genome shotgun sequence.
CUAAAAUUGGUCUCACUAAAAUUGGAAAGGUACAGAGAAGAUCUGCAUGACCUCUGUGAAAGAAAGACACGCAAAUUUCUACAGCGAUCUGUAUUUUU